GGAUUGUUGGCUCAGUGGUGGAGUGCUUGCCUAGCAUGUACGAGGCACUGGGUUCGAUUCUCAACACCA
rnacentral:tRNA from 1 species